GUCUUUUUGAUUAUAAUUUAAAGUCUAAUCUGCCCAAUGAAUUUUUAAAUGGCUGCGGUAUUUUGACCGUACAAAGGUAGCAUAAUCAUUAGUUUUUUAAUUGAAAGCUAGAAUGAAUGAUUGAACGAGAAAAUUACUGUCUCAAUUUAAUUUUUUUAGAAUUUUAUUUUUAAGUUAAAAAGCUUAAAUAAUUUUUAAAGACGAGAAGACCCUAUAGAGUUUAAUAUUUUUAGUAUUAUAAAUUUUAUUAAUCUUUUAAUUAUUAAAAAUAUUUUAUUGGGGUGAUAAUUAAAUUUAAUAAACUUUAAUUUUUAUACACAUAAAUUUAUGAAUAAAUGAUCCAUUAUUAAUGAUUAAAAGAUUAAAUUACCUUAGGGAUAACAGCGUAAUUUUUUUUAAGAGUUCUUAUCGAAAAAAAAGAUUGCGACCUCGAUGUUGGAUUAAAAUUAAAUUUUGGUGUAGAAGCUAAAACUUUAAGUCUGUUCGACUUUUAAAAUUUUACAUGAUCUGAGUUUAAACCGGCGUGAGCCAGGUUGGUUUCUAUCUUAAAAUAAUUUAAAUAUUUUAGUACGAAAGGACCAAAUAUUUAUAAUAAUUAUUAAUUUUUGAAUAU
rnacentral:rRNA from 1 species